UUAAGUAGAAAAGAGCGCACGGAGGAUGCCUUGGCACUAGGAGCCGAAGAAGGACGUGACAAACGACGAAACGCUACGGGGAGCUGUAAGUAAGCAAAGAUCCGUAGAUAUCCGAAUGGGGGAACCCACCGCUUUUAAAAGGGCGGUACGCGAAAGCGAGGUAACGCAGGGAACUGAAACAUCUAAGUACCUGUAGGAAGAGAAAGAAAAAUCGAUUUCCUAAGUAGCGGCGAGCGAAAGGGAAAGAGCCCAAACCAAUGUGCUUGCAUAUUGGGGUUGUAGGACUCUCAAUAAAACGUAUGACAAAGUAUAGUAGAACGAGCUGGAAAGUUAGACCGUAGAAGGUAAAAGUCCUGUAUACGAAAUGCUGAGUUGGCGUGAGAGAGCACCUGAGUACGGCGGAACACGAGGAAUUCCGUCGGAAUCUACCAGGACCAUCUGGUAAGGCUAAAUACUACCUAGUGACCGAUAGUGAACCAGUACCGUGAGGGAAAGGUGAAAAGAACCCCGGGAGGGGAGUGAAAGAGAACCUGAAACCGUGUGCUUACAAGUAGUCAGAGCCCUUUAGGGGGUGAUGGCGUGCCUUUUGUAGAAUGAACCGGCGAGUUACUUUAUCAUGCGAGGUUAAGUGGAAGACAUGGAGCCGAAGCGAAAGCGAGUCUUAAUAGGGCGAAAUAGUAUGAUGGAGUAGACCCGAAACCAAGUGAUCUACCCAUGGCCAGGUUGAAGUUUAGGUAACACUGAAUGGAGGACCGAACCAGGACACGUUGAAAAGUGUUUGGAUGAGCUGUGGGUAGCGGAGAAAUUCCAAUCGAACUUGGAAAUAGCUGGUUCUCUCCGAAAUAGCUUUAGGGCUAGCCUCGUUGUGAGUUUACUGGAGGUAGAGCACUGUUUGGACUAGGGGCCCAUCCCGGGUUACCGAAUUCAGACAAACUCCGAAUGCCAGAUAAAUAUCAACGGGAGUCAGACUGCGGGUGAUAAGGUUCGUAGUCGAAAGGGAAACAGCCCAGACCGCCAGCUAAGGUCCCAAAUUGUAUGUUAAGUGGAAAAGGAUGUGAUGAUGCACAGACAACCAGGAUGUUGGCUUAGAAGCAGCCACCAUUUAAAGAGUGCGUAAUAGCUCACUGGUCGAGUGACAUCGCGCCGAAAAUGUACCGGGGCUAAACAUACAACCGAAGCUGCGGAUAUAACUAAUGUUAUAUGGUAGGAGAGCGUUCUAACAUCAUAGAAGCCGAACUGGAAGGUGAGGUGGAGAGGUUAGAAGUGAGAAUGCCGGUGUGAGUAGCGAAAGAUAGGUGAGAAUCCUAUCCACCGAAAGACUAAGGUUUCCAGAGGAAGGCUCGUCCGCUCUGGGUAAGUCGGGACCUAAGGUGAAGCCGAUAGGUGAAGCCGAUGGACAACAGGUAGAAAUUCCUGUACCACCGAAUAUCGAUUGAGAGAAGUGGGGACAGAGGAGGCUAAUUGAUCGCCCUGAUGGAAUAGGGCGUCUAAGCACAAAGACUGACAAGUAGGCAAAUCCGCUUGUUUAAAGGUUGAAGUGUUAAGGGGAGCGAAAUAUAGUAGCGAAGUCAAUGAAGCCAAACUCUCAAGAAAAGCCGCUAUCGAGAUAAGAGGUGCCCGUACCGCAAACCGACACAGGUAGUUGGGAAGAGAAUUCUAAGGUGAGCGAGAGAACCAUCGUUAAGGAACUCGGCAAAAUGACCCCGUAACUUCGGGAGAAGGGGUGCCUACGAGAGUAGGCCGCAGUGAAUAGGCCCAAGCGACUGUUUAUCAAAAACACAGGUCUCUGCAAAACCGAAAGGUGAAGUAUAGGGGCUGACGCCUGCCCGGUGCUGGAAGGUUAAGAGGAGUGCUUAGCGCAAGCGAAGGUAUGAAUUGAAGCCCCAGUAAACGGCGGCCGUAACUAUAACGGUCCUAAGGUAGCGAAAUUCCUUGUCGGGUAAGUUCCGACCCGCACGAAAGGCGUAAUGAUUUGGGCACUGUCUCAACGAGAGACUCGGUGAAAUUUUAGUACCUGUGAAGAUGCAGGUUACCCGCGACAGGACGGAAAGACCCCAUGGAGCUUUACUGUAGCUUGAUAUUGAAUUUUGAUGCAGUAUGUACAGGAUAGGUAGGAGCCUAAGAAUCAUGCACGCCAGUGUAUGAGGAGGCGUUGUUGGGAUACUACCCUUGCUGUAUUGAAAUUCUAACCCUCGGCAUAGAAAACCGGGAGACAGUGUCAGGUGGGCAGUUUGACUGGGGCGGUCGCCUCCUAAAGAGUAACGGAGGCGCCCAAAGG
rnacentral:rRNA from 1 species